rnacentral:rRNA from 1 species
UACGUAGGGGGCGAGCGUUGUCCGGAUUUAUUGGGCGUAAAGAGCGCGUAGGCGGUCCGAUAAGUCGGCUGUGAAAGUCAGGGGCUCAACCCUUGGAAGCCGGCCGAUACUGUCGGACUAGAGUCCGGAAGAGGCGAGUGGAAUUCCCGGUGUAGCGGUGAAAUGCGUAGAUAUCCGGAGGAACACCAGUGGCGAAGGCGACUUUCUGGCCUGUUCUUGACGCUGAGGCGCGAAAGCUAGGGGAGCAAACGGGG